rnacentral:rRNA from 1 species
AGUGAACGCUGGCGGCAGGCCUAACACAUGCAAGUCGAGCGGAACCUCGGGGGCAACCCUGGCGGGGAGCGGCGGACGGGUGAGGAAUUCCUCGGAAUCUGCCUUUUCGUGGGGGAAAACGUACGAAAACUUAAGCUUAUACUGCAAACGUCCUACGGGAGAAAGUGGGGGACCGCAGGGCCUCACGAGUACAGAUUAGCCGACGAACGUUUGGGUAGUUGGGGGGGUAAAGGCCCACCAAGGCGAGGACGGGUAGCUGGGCUGAGAGGAAGACCAGCCACACUGGGAGUGAGACACGCCACAGACUCCUGCGGUAGGCAGCAGUCGGGAAUAUUGGGCGAUGGGCGCAAGCCUGAUCCAGCCAUGCCGCGUGUGUGAAGAAGUCGUUCGGUUUGUAAAGCGCUGUUGUCCGGAAAGAAAUACAUGGAGUUAAUACCUGCGGAUAAUGACGGUACCGGAAGAAUAAGCACCGGCUAACUUCGUG